rnacentral:rRNA from 1 species
UAGCAUAUCAAUAAGCGGAGGAAAAGAAACCAACAGGGAUUGCCUCAGUAACGGCGAGUGAAGCGGCAAAAGCUCAAAUUUGAAAUCUGGCUCCUUCGGGGCCCGAGUUGUAAUUUGUAGAGGAUGCUUCGGGCGUGGCCGCGGUCUAAGUCCCCUGGAACGGGGCGUCGCAGAGGGUGAGAAUCCCGUCUUCGGCCGGCCGGCUUCGCCCAUGUGAAGCUCCUUCGACGAGUCGAGUUGUUUGGGAAUGCAGCUCUAAAUGGGUGGUAAAUUUCAUCUAAAGCUAAAUACUGGUCGGAGACCGAUAGCGCACAAGUAGAGUGAUCGAAAGAUGAAAAGCACUUUGAAAAGAGAGUUAAACAGCAUGUGAAAUUGUUGAAAGGGAAGCGCUUGCGACCAGAGUCGGCCGCGGGGGUUCAGCGGGCAUUCGUUGCCCGUGCACUCCCCCGUGGCCGGGCCAGCGUCGGUUUCGACGGCCGGUCAAAGGCCCCCGGAAUGUGUCACCCUUCGGGGUGUCUUAUAGCCGGGGGUGCAAUGCGGCCAGUCGGGACCGAGGAACGCGCUUCGGCACGGACGCUGGCUUAAUGGUCGUAAGCGACCCGUCUUGAAACACGGACCAAGGAGUCUAACAUCCACGCGAGUGUUCGGGUGUCAAACCCGUCCGCGCAGUGAAAGCGAACGGAGGUGGGAACCCUUAAGGGUGCACCAUCGACCGAUCCAGAAGUCUUCGGAUGGAUUUGAGUAAGAGCGUGGCUGUUGGGACCCGAAAGAUGGUGAACUAUGCCUGAAUAGGGUGAAGCCAGAGGAAACUCUGGUGGAGGCUCGCAGCGGUUCUGACGUGCAAAUCGAUCGUCAAAUUUGGGUAUAGGGGCGAAAGACUAAUCGAACCAUCUGGUAGCUGGUUCCUGCG